rnacentral:rRNA from 1 species
AUUGAACGCUAGCGGGAUGCUUUACACAUGCAAGUCGAACGGCAGCGCGGACUUCGGUCUGGCGGCGAGUGGCGAACGGGUGAGUAAUGUAUCGGAACGUGCCCAGUAGCGGGGGAUAACUACGCGAAAGCGUAGCUAAUACCGCAUACGCCCUACGGGGGAAAGCAGGGGAUCGUAAGACCUUGCACUAUUGGAGCGGCCGAUAUCGGAUUAGCUAGUUGGUGAGGUAACGGCUCACCAAGGCGACGAUCCGUAGCUGGCUUGAGAGGACGACCAGCCACACUGGGACUGAGACACGGCCCAGACUCCUACGGGAGGCAGCAGUGGGGAAUUUUGGACGAUGGGGGCAACCCUGAUCCAGCCAUCCCGCGUGUGCGAUGAAGGCCUUCGGGUUGUAAAGCACUUUUGGCAGGAAAGAAACGUCGCGGGCUAAUACCCCGUGGAACUGACGGUACCUGCAGAAUAAGCACCGGCUAACUACGUG